AUUGAACGCUGGCGGCAGGCCUAACACAUGCAAGUCGAACGAGUGGCGGACGUGUUGGUAAUGUCUGGGAAACUGCCUGAUGGAUGGGGAUCACUAAUGGACACGGUAGCUAAAACCGCAUACCAUCAGAUGUGCCCAGGUGGUAUUAGGGUGUUGGUGGGGUAACGGCUCACCAGGGCGACGAUCCCUAGCUGGUCUGAGAGGAUGAACAGCCACACUGGAACUGAGACACGGUCCAGACUCCUACGGGAGGCAGCAGUGGGGAAUAUUGCACAAUGGGCGCAAGCCUGAGGCAGCCAUGCGGCGUGUAUGAAGAAGGCCUUCGGGUUGUAAAGUACUUUCAGUGGGGAGGCGUUACCCGCAGAAGAAGCACCGGCUAACUCCGUGCCAGCAGCCGCGGUAAUUC
rnacentral:rRNA from 1 species